rnacentral:rRNA from 1 species
AGAACGAACGCUGGCGGCGUGCCUAACACAUGCAAGUCGAGCGCGAAAAGGGCAACCUGAGUAGAGCGGCGCACGGGUGCGUAACACGUGGGUAAUCUGCCUCAAGGUCUGGGAUAACCUUCCGAAAGGUUGGCUAAUACCGGAUAAGCUCACAGAGACUUCGGUUUCAGUGGGAAAAGGUGGCCUCUAUUUAUAAGCCAUCACUUUGAGAUGAGCCCGCGGCCCAUCAGUUAGUUGGCGGGGUAACGGCCCACCAAGACUACGACGGGUAGCUGGUCUGAGAGGACGAUCAGCCACACUGGAACUGAGACACGGUCCAGACUCCUACGGGAGGCAGCAGUGGGGAAUUUUGCACAAUGGGCGAAAGCCUGAUGCAGCAACGCCGCGUGUGUGAUGAAGGUCUUCGGAUCGUAAAGCACUUUCGACCGGGAAGAACCACCUCUGGCUAACAGUCAGGGGUCUGACGGUACCGGGAGAAGAAGCACCGGCUAACUCUGUG